GCCAGGGUGGUACAGUGGUUUGAGCAUUGGUCUAUAACUCUGAAGACCAGAGUUCAAAUCCCUGUUCAGCCA